UAAUACGGAGGGUGCAAGCGUUAUCCGGAUUCACUGGGUUUAAAGGGUGCGUAGGUGGCUUUGUAAGUCAGUGGUGAAAGCCUGGAGCUCAACUCUAGAACUGCCAUUGAUACUGCUUAGCUUGAAUCAGGUCGAGGUGGAUGGAAUAUGACAUGUAGCGGUGAAAUGCUUAGAUAUGUUAUAGAACACCGAUUGCGAAGGCAGUUCACUAGACCUGUAUUGACACUGAGGCACGAAAGCGUGGGGAUCAAACAGG
rnacentral:rRNA from 1 species